UACGAAGGGGGCUAGCGUUGUUCGGAAUCACUGGGCGUAAAGGGCGCGUAGGCGGCCACCGCAAGUCGGUUGUGAAAUCUCCGGGCUUAACCCGGAAAGGUCAAUCGAUACUGCGGGGCUAGAGUGCAGAAGGGGCAACUGGAAUUCUCGGUGUAGCGGUGAAAUGCGUAGAUAUCGAGAGGAACACCUGAGGUGAAGACGGGUUGCUGGGCUGACACUGACGCUGAGGAGCGAAAGCGUGGGGAGCGAACAGG
rnacentral:rRNA from 1 species